rnacentral:rRNA from 1 species
ACUCCUACGGGAGGCAGCAGUGGGGAAUCUUGGACAAUGGGCGCAAGCCUGAUCCAGCCAUGCCGCGUGAGUGAUGAAGGCCUUAGGGUCGUAAAGCUCUUUCGCCAGGGAUGAUAAUGACAGUACCUGGUAAAGAAACCCCGGCUAACUCCGUGCCAGCAGCCGCGGUAAUACGGAGGGGGUUAGCGUUGUUCGGAAUUACUGGGGCGUAAAGCGCGCGUAGGCGGAUCGGAAAGUUGGGGGUGAAAUCCCGGGGGCUCAACCCCGGAACUGCCUCCAAAACUAUCGGUCUAGAGUUCGAGAGAGGUGAGUGGAAUUCCGAGUGUAGAGGUGAAAUUCGUAGAUAUUCGGAGGAACACCAGUGGCGAAGGCGGCUCACUGGCUCGAUACUGACGCUGAGGUGCGAAAGUGUGGGGAGCAAACAGGAUUAGAUACCCUGGUAGGAUAGG